GAGGUGGCUGAUCCGUAAAGUGCUUGUCUAGCAUACAUGAAUCUCUGGGUUCAAUCCCCAGCACCUCA
rnacentral:tRNA from 1 species